GAGCCUGAACCUUGCUAGACUAUCAGUGCUGUUAAUAGUGUACCCAAAUUGGGGAUAAAAGGAAAUAGGCAGACGGUAAGGAUUGCGAGUUUACCAGGUAGCAGCGUAGUUGAGCAAGUAACACCUGUGCAUAAAUGUGAGUCUCUCUAAACACAUCUAGACACCUCCAGAUGGGGAAUGCGCAAUCCACCACACCAUUUCUAAGCCAUCCAUCCAACAAAAGCUUUUGGGCAACACUCGGCAUCUCUCAACUUCUAGAAAGCGAAGUUUCCUUUAACAUUACGGAGCAUGACCUCUGAGAUGCUUCGAGUGAAGGGACACAGCUCACGAUGUAUCCGAGUUACUUAUUCAGACCUUCGGGCACUGAUUAGUAGCCGUGGGGUAUCAUUGCCUGUUGAAACGUAAUGAGGUGAUUAUGCAUACGCAGGAAAAACAGGUUGGUGGUAGUGCUGAAGCUAAGUGCCUAUGGGUUAAUAUUAGUUGAAACAGACCAAUAAAAGGAACUCAAGAGCUUGAAAUGCCUCUGAGGGAAGCAUAGUCCUGGUGGAUCUGUUACUCAAAGGCACGUUAUCCAGUCCUUGCUGUGCUCAGGGUUGUCUUCAGUGGAGAGCUGGUCAAGGAGCCUGGCUGUGAAGGUCAGCAAUAGGCAAGUGAUGCAGUUCAUUUAGGGGCUGUGCAAGGAGUUAACCAGUUUCCCUACGCCAGGAAAACUUGCCACCAUGUCAAGAUCCUGCAAGGCCCAUCUUCUGUGCAAACAAUUUACCCAUGCGCAGCAAAGCUGUGCAGCAUGGGCGGGAGAUCCAGUCUGGCCUCUGCUCUGUUCUGCUUUAGCACAAAUCUCUGGAGCCAACCUCACCCUAUGACAGUUUUAAAAAAUUCCUACUUUUCCAUCCUCCCUUAACUUGGCAAAGCCUGUCAGGACAUGUAAUUAGUCCUUGGGUUUCAAUUAAGACCAUCAUGGAUAUGACAUUAUUUCUCCUCUCACCCCUCCCCUUCUGUUGCAGUCUGGAUUUUUUUUUUUUUCCAGCAGUACUUCAUAACUCCGCACAAGGUAAAUAGAAGCUGCAACAGCUCAGUAUCUGUGAAAGAUCAGGCCCUGGAGAGUCCCAACGCUCUCGGAGAAUCUAGGUCUCGGGUACAAGCAAACCAGACGCCAGAUGGGCUGGUGAGAAGCUGACGUGGCACGAGCAGGCGGAGGAUUUUUCUUAUUCCUUCCUUCUUGCCUUCUCCAAAGAUGUGGUGUCGAACCGGCCCAUCGCUCACACAGGUGCUGCUUGUUCUGCUGUGGGAACAUAAUACCAUCACAGCCUAAAAAAAAUUACAUAAACCUUCAGCUGUUCACAUGCAUCUGUCAGUGUGGACAUAAAACAGCAGUAUGCAGCAAGCAUUCAAGAGUAAAAAAGACGACUAAGGACCCAAAAGUUAAAAACGGAAGAAAAAAAAAAAAAAAAAAAAGGAAAAGGUACAAAGACGACGGACAGUUACUGUGGAAAAUGAAAUUAAAAAGCUACUGGGGUCUUGCUGCCUUCAGUUAUCGUUUACCCUGUCCACCCAUAGCCCUCUGCCUGAAAAGGGAAAGGAAGAAAAAGAGGAAGAAAAACUGCGACAGGAGGGAAUAAGACCAUGGACAUGUUGGAAGCUGGAAUAUACAUCCUGCAUUACAAAGUGCAAAAUACUACAUGCUCAGAGCCCAAGCAUGAUGUCUGAAACAGUCCACAGCAAGAUGUAAGAGACAAACCCACC